AGCUGAAUCAGCAUCGGGAUGAUGUGUGGUUGAUGCCUUGCAGUGUCUGACCGGCCUACUUGCUACUUACUGUGUUUGGUUUUGGCAUGGAUGAAACGAGCCCCCUUCUCUCUCCCCAUCAGGAUUCGCCUAAUUAUAGCCAGCCCCCGGCCGACCCUGCGAUUCACCAGGGCGCGCUGAGAGGACUGCCACUGCCAGGGUCGGCGGUACGAAUUCCUCCCGGGAGCCCGGGAUGCAGCCAGGGGCGACAGCCGGGGCUGGAGCGGGGUAGGGGGAGCGCUCAGCGGGACUUCAAUAGCGACGAGUUCCUGGACGAUCCGGAGUUCAGGGAGAUCGUUGGAAAGGCAGAACGAGCAAUCGAGGAAGGGGUUUUCCCAGAAAGGAUCUACCAGGGAUCCAGCGGCAGCUAUUUCGUUAAAGAUUUACAGGGGAGGAUCGUCGGGGUGUUCAAGCCCAAGAACGAGGAGCCGUACGGCCAACUGAACCCCAAGUGGACCAAGUGGUUGCAGAAGCUGUGCUGUCCCUGCUGUUUCGGCCGGGAUUGCCUGGUGCUGAACCAGGGCUACCUGUCGGAGGCCGGAGCCGGCCUGGUGGACCAGAAGCUGGAGCUCAACAUUGUUCCCAAGACCAAGGUUGUCUACUUGGCCAGUGAAACCUUCAACUACAGCGCCAUUGACCGGGUCAAAUCCCGCGGAAAGAAACUCGCCCUGGAAAAAGUGCCGAAAGUGGGCCAGCGUUUUCACAGAAUCGGGCUUCCUCCCAAGGUGGGAUCAUUCCAGUUGUUUGUAGAAGGCUACAAAGAUGCAGACUUUUGGCUUCGACGAUUCGAGGCAGAACCACUACCAGAAAACACUAAUCGACAGCUGCAGAUGCAGUUUGAGAGGCUUGUGGUCUUGGAUUACAUCAUCAGAAAUACAGAUCGAGGGAACGACAAUUGGCUUAUAAAAUAUGACUGCCCUACGGACGCCGGAGCAAGCAGGGAUGCAGACUGGGUGAUGGUGAAGGAACCCAUCAUCAAGCUGGCCGCCAUAGACAACGGCCUGGCUUUCCCCCUCAAACACCCAGACUCCUGGAGAGCCUAUCCAUUUUACUGGGCUUGGCUGCCACAGGCCAACGUUUCCUUCUCGCAGGAGAUUAAGGACUUGGUCUUGCCCAAGCUUUCUGACCCAAAGUUUGUCAAAGACCUCGAGGAGGACUUGUAUGAAUUGUUUAAGCGGGACCCUGGGUUCGACAGGGGGCAGUUCCACAGACAGGGGGCAGUGAUGAGAGGACAGGCAGGGUCACAGUCCCUGGAGCAAUCAGGCCUUGCUUAACAGUAUAAUAACUCUGCCAAGCCUGGGAUUCGAACCAGUGACCUUCUGGUUAUAGAUCCUCAACCUCAGCCAGGCGCUGAAGUACAGGAAGACGCCACUGGAGCUGAUCCAGAUGCCCCCGGUGCUGGUGGAGACGGUGCGGAACACUCAGCGGUCCAACAGCGAGUCCUACACGCAGAGC